AGACGUGUCCUCAUAGGCCAAUUUCAUUAGCUUAAAAAGAGGACCGUUUGAUUAAUUUUAUCAGUUUGAAGAGUGGAGUAUCAUUUGUGUGGUAGCACGGCGCGUGGCGUUUUAUUAGUGCUCCACUAUUCUAUCCCUACUUAAACUUAAAAUAUAUUUAAUUAAUAUUCCGUCUAUUUAUGGAAUUUUUAAUGUAGGUUCUCAUUUGAAAAACUAAAGUUGGUAUCGCCACAGUAAACUCUUUAAAUGUGAAAAAUCUAUAAGUAUUAAAUAAUAUAGGUAUUACACUUAAGAAUUAAAAAAAUCUGAAUUUGUAUACAUGCAAAAUUUAACUAAAAAAUAGGGUGAACAUGCUUAGUGAAUCAUCCUGUAUUUCAAGUAUAAGUUGACUUUUAUACGUAAUUUAUUUGUAAUAAAACGUACUAGCAUUAUGAUUUCCUUUAAAUUCGACAUUUUUGGAUACCGCAUGUCCACAUCACAGAUAAUAUUAGGUUAUUUGUUAUUAUUUUAAGAAAUGUUAAUGAACUAUUUUGCAUUUUAGAUUGGUUAUCUUGAUUUCCAUAGAUUAAUUAUAAUACAUCACAAUAGCAAUAUUAUAUUAUAAGUUCUAUUGUCACUAUAAAGGUACCAAAUAAAUAUAGUUCCCUACCUAUCUAUUUACUUUUUUUUUGUGAAAAUCAGUUAAAAAAAUUUAUUUUAUGUAUUUAUUUAAAUUUUACAAUUUCCUGCAGAGUAUGUGGCGUUGAAUUAUUUUGUAAAAAAAAUUGUACGUAACCUAAAAUGUUAAUUAAAUUACUAUAUAUAGUUAUAUCU